AGUGAACGCUGGCGGUAGGCCUAACACAUGCAAGUCGAACGGCAGCACAGUAAGAGCUUGCUCUUACGGGUGGCGAGUGGCGGACGGGUGAGGAAUACAUCGGAAUCUACUUUUUCGUGGGGGAUAACGUAGGGAAACUUACGCUAAUACCGCAUACGACCUACGGGUGAAAGCAGGGGAUCUUCGGACCUUGCGCGAUUGAAUGAGCCGAUGUCGGAUUAGCUAGUUGGCGGGGUAAAGGCCCACCAAGGCGACGAUCCGUAGCUGGUCUGAGAGGAUGAACAGCCCAACUGGAAACGGGACACGGUCCCAACUCCCAAGGGAGGCAGCAGUUGGGAAUAUUGGACAAUGGGCGGAAGCCUGAUCCAGGCAAACCGGGUGGGUGAAGAAGGCCUUCGGGGUGGAAAGCCCUUUUUGUGGGAAAGAAAAGCCGCCGGUUAAUACCCCGCUGUUCUGACGGUACCCAAAGAAUAAGCACCGGCUAACUUCGUG
rnacentral:rRNA from 1 species